GCGGCGGACGGGUGAGUAACACGUGGGUAACCUGCCUGUAAGACUGGGAUAACUCCGGGAAACCGGGGCUAAUACCGGAUGGUUGUUUGAACCGCAUGGUUCAAACAUAAAAGGUGGCUUCGGCUACCACUUACAGAUGGACCCGCGGCGCAUUAGCUAGUUGGUGAGGUAAUGGCUCACCAAGGCAACGAUGCGUAGCCGACCUGAGAGGGUGAUCGGCCACACUGGGACUGAGACACGGCCCAGACUCCUACGGGAGGCAGCAGUAGGGAAUCUUCCGCAAUGGACGAAAGUCUGACGGAGCAACGCCGCGUGAGUGAUGAAGGUUUUCGGAUCGUAAAGCUCUGUUGUUAGGGAAGAACAAGUACCGUUCGAAUAGGGCGGUACCUUGACGGUACCUAACCAGAAAGCCACGGCUAACUACGUGCCAGCAGCCGCGGUAAUACGUAGGU
rnacentral:rRNA from 1 species